rnacentral:tRNA from 1 species
GGAGAUUUAUGCCAAAGAAAAAGCUUCUAACUUAUAUCUUAAGCGGUUAAAUUCCGUUAAUUUCUC